AUUGAACGCUGGCGGCAGGCUUAACACAUGCAAGUCGAGCGGGGUGAUGGUGCUUGCACUAUCACUUAGCGGCGGACGGGUGAGUAAUGCUUAGGAAUCUGCCUAUUAGUGGGGGACAACAUCUCGAAAGGGAUGCUAAUACCGCAUACGUCCUACGGGAGAAAGCAGGGGAUCACUUGUGACCUUGCGCUAAUAGAUGAGCCUAAGUCGGAUUAGCUAGUUGGUGGGGUAAAGGCCUAACAAGGCGACGAUCUGUAGCGGGUCUGAGAGGGUGAUCAGCCACACUGGGACUGGGACACGGCCCAGACUCCUACGGGAGGCAGCAGUGGGGAAUAUUGGACAAUGGGGGGAACCCUGAUCCAGACAUGCCGCGUGUGUGAAGAAGGCCUUAUGGUUGUAAAGCACUUUAAGCGAGGAGGAGGCUCUUUUGGUUAAUACCCAAGAUGAGUGGACGUUACUCGCAGAAUAAGCACCGGCUAACUCUGUGCCAGCCGCCGCGGUAA
rnacentral:rRNA from 1 species